rnacentral:rRNA from 1 species
CGGGUGAGUAAUGUCUGGGGAACUGCCUGAUGGAGGGGGAUAACUACUGGAAACGGUAGCUAAUACCGCAUAACGUCGCAAGACCAAAGAGGGGGACCUUCAGGCCUCUUGCCAUCGGAUGUGCCCAGAUGGGAUUAGCUAGUAGGUGGGGUAACGGCUCACCUAGGCGACGAUCCCUAGCUGGUCUGAGAGGAUGACCAGCCACACUGGAACUGAGACACGGUCCAG